rnacentral:rRNA from 1 species
CCUACGGGUCGCAGCAGUGGGGAAUAUUGGACAAUGGGCGAAAGCCUGAUCCAGCCAUGCCGCGUGUGUGAAGAAGGCCUUUUGGUUGUAAAGCACUUUAAGCGAGGAGGAGGCUACUUAGAUUAAUACUCUAGGAUAGUGGACGUUACUCGCAGAAUAAGCACCGGCUAACUCUGUGCCAGCAGCCGCGGUAAUACAGAGGGUGCGAGCGUUAAUCGGAUUUACUGGGCGUAAAGCGUGCGUAGGUGGCUUUUUAAGUCGGAUGUGAAAUCCCUGAGCUUAACUUAGGAAUUGCAUUCGAUACUGGGAAGCUAGAGUAUGGGAGAGGAUGGUAGAAUUCCAGGUGUAGCGGUGAAAUGCGUAGAGAUCUGGAGGAAUACCGAAGGCGAAGGCAGCCAUCUGGCCUAAUACUGACGCUGAGGUACGAAAGCAUGGGGAGCAAACAGGAUUAGAUACCCGCGUAGUC